CUCCGAAAUAUAUUUAGGUAUAGCGUUGUGUCGUAAUAUAAGGGGGUAGAGCACUGAAUGGGCUAGGGCAUACACCAAUGUACCAAACCCUAUCAAACUCCGAAUACCUUAUAUGUAAUCACAGCAGUCAGGCGGCGAGUGAUAAAAUCCGUCGUCAAGAGGGAAACAACCCAGACUACCAGCUAAGGUCCCUAAGUCUUACUUAAGUGGAAAACGAUGUGAAGUUACUUAAACAACCAGGAGGUUGGCUUAGAAGCAGCCAUCCUUUAAAGAAAGCGUAAUAGCUCACUGGUCUAGUGAUUUUGCGCGGAAAAUAUAACGGGGCUAAAGUAAGUACCGAAGCUGUAGACUUAGUUUACUAAGUGGUAGGAGAGCGUUCUAUUUGCGUCGAAGGUAUACCGGUAAGGAGUGCUGGAGCGAAUAGAAGUGAGCAUGCAGGCAUGAGUAGCGAUAAUUAAUGUGAGAAUCAUUAACGCCGUAAACCCAAGGUUUCCUACGCGAUGCUCGUCAUCGUAGGGUUAGUCGGGUCCUAAGUCGAGUCCGAAAGGGGUAGACGAUGGCAAAUUGGUUAAUAUUCCAAUACCAACAUUAGUGUGCGAUGGAAGGACGCUUAGGGCUAAGGGGGCUAGCGGAUGGAAGUGCUAGUCUAAGGUCGUAGGAGGUUAUACAGGCAAAUCCGUAUAACAAUACUCCGAGAACUGAAAGGCUUUUUGAAGUCUUCGGAUGGAUAGAAGAACCCCUGAUGCCGUCGAGCCAAGAAAAGUUUCUAAGUUUAGCUAAUGUUGCCCGUACCGUAAACCGACACAGGUGGGUGGGAUGAGUAUUCUAAGGCGCGUGGAAGAACUCUCUUUAAGGAACUCUGCAAAAUAGCACCGUAUCUUCGGUAUAAGGUGUGGUUAGCUUCGUACUAGGAUUUACUCCGAAAGCGAAGAAACUUACAACAAAGAGUCCCUCCCGACUGUUUACCAAAAACACAGCACUCUGCUAACUCGUAAGAGGAUGUAUAGGGUGUGACGCCUGCCCGGUGCUCGAAGGUUAAUUGAUGGGGUUAGCAUUAGCGAAGCUCUUGAUCGAAGCCCGAGUAAACGGCGGCCGUAACUAUAACGGUCCUAAGGUAGCGAAAUUCCUUGUCGGUUAAAUACCGACCUGCAUGAAUGGCGUAACGAGAUGGGAGCUGUCUCAAAGAGGGAUCCAGUGAAAUUGUAGUGGAGGUGAAAAUUCCUCCUACCCGCGGCAAGACGGAAAGACCCCGUGGACCUUUACUACAGCUUGACACUGCUACUUGGAUAAGAAUGUGCAGGAUAGGUGGGAGGCUUUGAGUAUAUGACGCCAGUUGUAUAUGAGCCAUUGUUGAGAUACCACUCUUUCUUAUUUGGGUAGCUAACCAGCUUGAGUUAUCCUCAAGUGGGACAAUGUCUGGUGGGUAGUUUGACUGGGGCGGUCGCCUCCCAAAUAAUAACGGAGGCUUACAAAGGUUGGCUCAGAACGGUUGGAAAUCGUUCGUAGAGUAUAAAGGUAUAAGCCAGCUUAACUGCAAGACAUACAAGUCAAGCAGAGACGAAAGUCGGUCUUAGUGAUCCGGUGGUUCUGUGUGGAAGGGCCAUCGCUCAAAGGAUAAAAGGUACCCCGGGGAUAACAGGCUGAUCUCCCCCAAGAGCUCACAUCGACGGGGAGGUUUGGCACCUCGAUGUCGGCUCAUCGCAUCCUGGGGCUGGAGCAGGUCCCAAGGGUAUGGCUGUUCGCCAUUUAAAGCGGUACGCGAGCUGGGUUCAGAACGUCGUGAGACAGUUCGGUCCCUAUCUGCCGUGGGCGUAAGAAGAUUGAAGAGAUUUGACCCUAGUACGAGAGGACCGGGUUGAACAAACCACUGGUGUAGCUGUUGUUCUGCCAAGAGCAUCGCAGCGUAGCUAAGUUUGGAAAGGAUAAACGCUGAAAGCAUCUAAGCGUGAAGCCAACUCUAAGAUGAAUCUUCUCUAAGCUCUCUAGAAGACUACUAGUUUGAUAGGCUGGGUGUGUAAUGGAUGAAAGUCCUUUAGCUGACCAGUACUAAUAGAGCGUUUGGCUUAUCUUU
rnacentral:rRNA from 1 species